UACGGAGGGUGCAAGCGUUAUCCGGAUUCACUGGGUUUAAAGGGUGCGUAGGUGGGCAGGUAAGUCAGUGGUGAAAUCUCCGGGCUUAACUCGGAAACUGCCAUUGAUACUAUCUGUCUUGAAUACCGUGGAGGUCAGCGGAAUAUGUCAUGUAGCGGUGAAAUGCUUAGAUAUGACAUAGAACACCGAUAGCGAAGGCAGCUUGCUACACGUGUAUUGACACUGAGGCACGAAAGCGUGGGGAUCAAACAGG
rnacentral:rRNA from 1 species